GAUAUCUAAUAUGCCACACGUGUGGGCGUUAUCGGCGUCCAUCUUUUUUUAAAGGAGGUUAAGACCGCCGGCCUCAGCAUCAAUCGAUGCAUGCAGCCAUCUUUAUUAAUUAUUCAACAAAGGUCUAACAAGAACAUACAUCAACCCACCCGAAGCCACCACUCACACCUACAAGCUUGAUAAUGUGGAGUGCUCUCACUCCCCAUAUUUAAAACUGGUGUCGUCUGAUAUAUCCACAUAACGUAUCGAAACCUACAGCCGGUGCAGCAAACCUAAAGCGUACACCACAUGCACACGUUUUAGAAGCCGCCAUCAUCAUUGUAUCGCUGAUCCAUUUUCAGAAAGGAGAUCCGUGUCAUCUUUGCCAGUCCGGCCACCCGUCGAUGCCACCACGGCGCCCAACGGCACCACCUCCCUGCGUACGAUCCACGUCAAUAAAAUCUUUUAGAGUGAGCAUUUCUAAAACUUCAUCAAAGAUACUGCAAUUGGAGCAACACAGUGAUACUAUCAUUUAUUCACCUAUAUAAGAACUUGAUUACUAAUAAAGAUUUUUUUAAAGGUCAUUUCAGUUGUCGUCCAAAUAGAUGGGAAGCCAUGCCUGAUGAACGGACUUGGGUCGGGGUUAAUCCCCUACAAAUAAUGUGUCGUCGAAUGACAAGAUCUUCGUCGCAACGUCGAGGAAAUAUUUCAACUCCACAAAAAACCAAACUAGCAAAAACAAUUCGUCACAAUAACAGAAAGUUACCAGAUUCAAAUAAAUGGAUAUGUCAGAACACAAAGCUCACUAGCUCCAUGCACCGACAUUUUAUGGUUUAGAUUUUUUUUCUUCUUCGUAAAAGCCCACUAUGAAAAAGCUACCGAAGACCACAUCACUAUUAAAUCUGAUGUAUCCACACUUUUCAGCACCAAGAUGACAGCCGAAAGUGAGGGAAUCUUCAACCGCAGUCUCCAUCUCUCAAAUCCUUUACCUGAUUGAAAAAUAAUAAUCAAAUCCUAUUCGCGCUUAUGCGCUAGUCAGUGUGUUACCCGUGCAUAGUGCCCACGUCGUUUCUACAUGGGCCAUCUAUUUGACUUCCAUAGUUUCGGUUUUUGGGAACCUGCUCGAAGCUUCCUGUCCGAUUUUCCUGAUAUUUUCUUUCUUCGGUGUUUCUACGUUUGUUUUAUUUCACUUUAUCAUUUUUUAUUUCAUUUUAAAAGUCAUAUUUUUCAAAUUUGUUAAUAUUUUAAAAUAAUUUUUAAAUUCAUGAGAAUUUUAAAAUUAUUGAACAUUAUGAUAUUUGUGAGGUUUUUUAAAUCCAUGAAACAUUUCGAAAGACGGGAUUUGUUUAGAGUUUAUGAAUAUUUUUAAUGGUCAGGCAUAACCAAAGUCAACGGUUAGAAAACUUGUAGAUGCCUGUUUUGUUACUAUUUUGUUUUUUGAGACAAGCCUGUUUUGUUACUAAGAAAAGAGAGGGACGAAUCAGGCGCUAGCGCUACAUGGGCCGGCCCUUAAAGUUGUGCUCCGUCGACUAAGCCACGCAUGAAGCGCUGUAUAGGUGCGAGUUCUCCUUGUCUAUAUAAAAAAAGGACCUCGAUAAGGACCGAACGUUCGGCCUGGGCAAGCGCCAGACCGAACGAAACAUUCGGAUCUGGGACAGCACUCUACCGAAUAGAAUCGUUUGGUGUAGAAACGCACCAGCCCGAACCCCUCAUUCACGAGCAACUUGGCAAUACGUGCAGUUUAAAGACAGUGGGUAAAAAAAGGCCCAGCGUACGCACACAAAGACCCAAGUAUUAAAAAAGCUAGCAAUUGCACACAUACUAGGAAAUCAAAAACUGGAAAAUUCCCAUAGCAAAAUUUACACAAUUUUUCCAUGGCAAAAAUACUUUAAUUCACAUGGAAAAUUUUAGUUUAAUUUUCCAUGGCAAAAUUUACUCUAUUUUUGCCAUUGCAAAAAAUACUUUUAUGCACAUGGCAAAUUUCAGUUUAAUUUAGCAUGGAAAAAUGUACUCUAUUUUUGUCAACUUCUAUUCACAUGGCAAGUUUUAGUUAAUUUGCCAUGGCAAAAUUUACUCUAAUUUUUGCCAUGGAAAAAAUACUUUUAUGCACAUGGCAAGUGUUAGCUUAAUUUGCCAUGGCAAAAUUUACUCUAUUUUUGCCAUCGCAAAAAUACUUCUAUUCACACGGCAAGUUUUAGUUUAAUUUGCUGUGGCAAAAUUUACUCUAUUUUUGCCAUGGCAAAAAAAAUACUUUUAUUCACAUGGCAAGUUUUAGUUUAAUUUACUCUAUUUUUGCCAUGGCAAAAAUACUUUUAUUCACAUGGCAAGUUUUAGUUUAAUUUGCCAUGAGAAAAAUACUUUUAUUCACAUGGCAAGUUUUAGUUUAAUUUGCCAUGGCAAAAUUUACUCUAUUUUUGCCAUGGCAAAAAUAUUUUUAUUCACAUGGCAAGUUUAUUUGCCAUGGCAAAAUUUACUCUAUUGUUGCCACGGCAAAAUUUACUCUAUGUUUGCCAUGUCAAAAUUUACACUAUGCAAGUAUAUUGAGCGCAACCAACUUGUUUGCCUAGAGAAGUUGCUGUCAUGUAUACAAAUACAAGCACAAGAAAGAUGAGCUGCUUGGGAAGCUACUGACAUACACCUCUUUCCAUGUUGUAGAACAAAGAUGUUUUCCAAAUUGUGAUAGCCCAAACAAAUACAAAAGACAAAAAAAUCAAACCAAUUUGCCAUGUUCUAGCUAACACAAAUUUCAGUAAAUUGUCAUGGCGUUUUUACAAAAGAAUUGCCACGGUUUAUUGAGAACAGCGUCUAUAAAAUUGCCUUGGAAAUAGUACUAACAACUUCAGAAUCAUGGCAAAACAUAUUAUGUUCUAUUUCCAUGGCAAAUGGCGACAUACUUUGUGUUUCCAUGGCAAGAUAUUAGAUAUUUUGCCAUGGUAAGAAAUAAUUUAAACUGGGACGGCAGCAAAAGUUGAGGCAACAUGGCAACAUAUUUUGUGUUUGCAUGGCAAAAACAUAUUUUGCCUUUCCAUCAACUAUAAUUUCUAAAAAAAUGCAAUGCAAAAUUGGUCAAUUAACACCACAUGAAAGUAAAAAGAGUUUCUGCAAUCCAUGAAUGACUGAGAAAAUGAAUCAUACAAUAAUUGCAUCAUAUGGAUUGAGCUAAAAAAGGUGAAUCACCGUCGAGAGGUCAUGUGUUGAGCCAGUAACAUAAAACUGAACCUGUCCUUCGAGAGUUCAUGUGCAGCAGACGAGUUCCUGAACGCCCGAGCGGCCGGAGAAGACGAGCAGGAUGGUCCCGUCGCCCAUGGGCAGCGCCUGGUCGCCGUGCUAGGAGAAGACGUGGCCGUGGAGGGCGCCGCCACGCAGGAUGGCGCCGUCGUCUCCGGGUGAACGCGCAGCGCACGAGUUCCCCGGCGUCCGAUAAGCCAGAGAAGACGAGGAGGAGGGUCCCGUCGCCCAUGGACACCGUGCUCGGAGAAGACGCGACCGAGGUGGGCGCCGAGGCGAGGGGCGAUGCUAUCGCCUAAAAAUGGCCGCGCCGUCGCGACGGACGCGAAGGUGUGCGGCGGAGGAGACGCAGCUCGGCGAGGGCGGACUCCGUCGGCGUCGAGUAUGGUCAGCUCGGGGACGGAAGCCUCGGAUGGCGGCGACCUCGGCGACGGCGAGGAUCGCGCGGAUGGAGGCGUGUCCGUGGAGCGGUGGAGGCUGCCGCGGCCCUCAGCCUCCAACCACAACGGCAGCUGAAGCCGCUCGCGCGGACCCGGAGCACGCCGGCCUGUUGCUUCACGCCGGCGAGCAUCGCGGCGACCUACGGCGGUCGGCCUCCGCCUCACUCUCUGGUUGGGCGCGGCCUGAGAGGAAUGGAUAAGGAGGGGAAUAGAGAAAUGCGGCGACG
rnacentral:lncRNA from 1 species